CUAUCCUGUUUUUUUUUGUUUGUUUGUUUUUAAUUUAUAUUUAUUUUUAUUUCACUUCUUGGUUGUAAAGGAUGGAGGGUGUGUACAAUACUCAUAACUCUCAAGGGCUUUUAGGUUUGCAGCACUUCCCUAGCACUUGAGUCUGUCUUGCUGGGAUCUGGCUGUGGUAACCUGCCUUGGGUUUGGUACCUGUGAUGGUUUUAAUGGCCUUCUAGUCACCUUCUAGUCUGGUAGUGCUUGUGGAGGUCAGUCUCCAGCACCACCAUGGGAGGCUGGCCUCCUCUGCUGCCCUUUUGUCUUUCUAGAUCUGUGACGGCAAUCACUUGCUGUUGUAGCACUACCCCUAAAUACACAAUUUUAUAGAAUGAAAGGGGCUUGUCUAUGUUGAGGAUAAGGAUCCUAUUUUGGCCUUUCAUUGUAGGGAGCCUGCUGUGAAAUGCUCCUUACCAUGAAGGCCAUGCAUUGUGGUCCCAGACAGUGGGGAUCUCAACUCCUCCCUUCAUGAACCGCUUGGUGAGCAGUAGAGAUGAGAUAUGCUGCAGAUGAGGGCAGGAAGGUGCCCCAGCACCACAGCCUCAAAGCAGGUCGGCUGGCCCGGCUGCUUUCAUAAACCAAAAGCUGGUUCUCAAGCGAGUGUAACUCCCACUGCUCUUGAGCAAACUCACCUGACAAUGCCUGUGCCAUCUCACGCCAAGGAGUCCACCAUUUUGGGCGGCCCGCUCCUUCUUGGAGCCACCGCAGUAGGUGACCCACAGCAAAUUCUCCUACUCGGAGAGAGAACGCUCCAAGGCAGCUGCAGCAGGCCCACAUGGUGUCACCCAGACUGGAUGGAGCCCAGGGACCUCCCUUUUACCCACCACCCCCUCUCCUUCAGCAGGAACCUUGUGCAGUACCGUGGCUCCAGCCAUCCUCACGCUAAGCCCUGAGGAGCGCUUGUGACGGAUAAUUAUUCAAGAUUAGAGGCUACAGCAAUCAGAGCGAUGCUGAGCUUACAAGAGCCUACUUCAACUUGAAGUACACUGACGUGCCUAGUGCUGGAGAGCAGAAACCAGCGUGAAGCACCCAGCCUCGCUUUGCAACACAAGGAGCAAAUCCUGCUGCUGGAGCUGGCUACUGCGAUAAUCAGGCCAUCCAUCUGUUUUCUCAGCAUUGAAUUCAUUUCCUCAUCCUCUGGAGAGGGUGGGAUGUGAUCAUCUUUGCCCAUGAGACCUCAGAAAGAAAAUGACCUCAUGGAAAUGGAAGGGAUUCACUCACAAAACAGAAAUACUGUGUUGCUAAGGUAUUUAUCAGAGGUUGGGCAAAACUGCUGACAUCUUGCUUGGAAGUCUUUCACAAAGAUCUCAUUGGUGAUAACCUGGACAACAGCAUGUGGGCAUUUGGGGAAAAAAAAGAGCAUAAAUCAGCGCUGUGUUGGUGCUCUUUUGAAAGGAUUAAAAGAAACUUGAUAAGUAUGAAAAAUGUGGUUGUUCCUAUCUUUACACCACUAAGAUACAACGUUGGCUCUACAGAACUUAAAAGCAAUGUUUUGCUUUUGAAAGUCCACUGGGGACCCCUAAUGUUUGCCUGCUGCAGAAGCACACGCCUCUGAGCAGAAGCUGCAAGAGCCUCUUUGGGUAUCCCUGGGUUUGGUUGUUUUGGUCGUUCAAAGGCCACUCCACAGCCCCGAGAUCAGCUUUAUUCUCAGCUCUCGGAGUCCCACCUCAUCCAAAAAUGCCGCUGUCAUCUUUCCCAGACCAGAAGCAUCGUUGUUAGCUCCCACCCUCAGUGUUGCAGAGGAACCAAACCUAUCUGAAGCUUUACACAGAACAACGCUAUGCUCGCAACGGGAUUAAAUUGCCCUUCUCUCUUUCAAGCCUCCAGCCCCAAAGCCAAGUAAAUCAGCAAAACCUGGACUUUAAGUGGCUUCUAACGUACUGAAAGUCAAUUAGAGUGAUUAAAAUGGAGCUGCUAACCACAGCUCUUCAUCACCAAUGCCGUGCUGCACAUCUAUUCUGUGUGGUUUGCAAGUAAAAGUGCAGGGAGAGGAAAGGAUUUUUUUUUUUUUUUAAAAGCAGCCAAAUUGCCUCUAAUUAGCAGCACAACUGUAGUCAAAACAUAAUGUGAGGAUAAUAAAUUGAUAUUUGCAUAAUGGAGACACUA